rnacentral:rRNA from 1 species
UACGAAGGGGGCUAGCGUUGCUCGGAAUCACUGGGCGUAAAGCGCACGUAGGCGGAUUGCUAAGUCAGGGGUGAAAUCCUGGAGCUCAACUCCAGAACUGCCCUUGAUACUGGCGGUCUCGAGUCCGGGAGAGGUGAGUGGAACUGCGAGUGUAGAGGUGAAAUUCGUAGAUAUUAGGAAGAACACCAGUGGCGAAGGCGGCUCACUGGCCCGGUACUGACGCUGAGGCGCGAAAGCGUGGGGAGCAAACAGG